CAAUAGCGUAUAUUAAAGUUGUUGCAGUUAAAAAGCUCGUAGUUGGAUUUCGGGAUGGCCCGGCCGGUCUGCCGCAAGGUAUGUUACUGGCCGAGCUGUUCUUCUUCGCAAAGACUGUGUGUGCUCUUAACUGAGUGUGCUCAGGAUCUGUGACGUUUACUUUGAAAAAAUUAGAGUGUUCAAAGCAAGCCAGCGCUUGAAUACAUAAGCAUGGAAUAAUGGAAUAGGACUUUGGUUCUAUUUUGUUGGUUUCUGGAACCUUAGUAAUGAUUAAGAGAGACAGUUGGGGGCAUUCGUAUUUCGUUGUCAGAGGUGAAAUUCUUGGAUUUACGAAAGACGAACUACUGCGAAAGCAUUUGCCAAGAAUGUUUUCAUUAG
rnacentral:rRNA from 1 species